ACAUUUUUAAUUAACAGGUUCUCAAAAAUACAAUCUAUUCAAACUAAUUUAACAAAGCAACAUUAACAAUACAAAAUAUAUAUAUGCAGCUUCAUCUAAAAUCUGUCCCACCAACAGUGGCUUGCACAAGUGAACAACAGAGAUGGCAUCAUCCAAGGACACAGGGUGUCAGUCCAGAGGCAAUGAGUCAACUUAGUUCAGAAACCAUGUUCUUUAGGGAAGACAGGAGUAAAGUCUACGCUGUACAAAGCUCACACAGGUCCACUUCCAGAUCCACACAUCCUGGCUUCUGGAGCAAAACUAAACCAGAUUGACCCAAAACCUUUGUUGGCUCAUAUACUUGGAGGCAUGUCAGAAAUGGAGUUGGUCAGCUCGCAGUUUGGUCUAUUACCCCGGAGCAGUCCUCUUUCGUACCACUAUCCUCUCACAGCUGCUGAUCAACCUACAGUUGAUUUCCCCAACCUGCCAGUGUGUGGCAGUCAGUUUAGUACAAACCUAAAUUUUGUUCCCACUCACCACCAAUCUUUUCAUUUGCAGUCAAUACAAGUGUCACAUGUCUUAUCCGGUCAGAUUGAGCACAAUACUCGACUACAGUCAAAUUUUGCCGCCUGGGCACAUGUGCGUCAACCAAGAGUCACCGCAAGCAGGUUUAGAGAAGUCUGCUAUGUGGUUGGUGAAUCUGCUAGCCAGUCAUUAGCAGCACGUAUACUAAAAGGCACAAAGCAGACAAGUCCUAGGAAACGUAGACUUGAACUUGAACCAGAAAUUUUGAAACAAUAUUCUGAAACAAAGAGGGUUACGGUUUUACCUUGUGGCUUUGUUGUUCACCCAGAUGCACCACAUCUAGGAGCCAGUCCAGAUGGGAGAGUAUAUGAUCCAUCUGAAAUCUUCCCAUUUGGUCUAGUGGAAGUACAUCUGCUGAAAGUAUAGGCCAGGCUUCAUUUAUUAAAAUGCAAAAGGGCCAAGCCAAACUCAAAGAAAUACACAAAUACUAUUGGCAGGUUCAAGGCCAGCUUGCCGUAACUGGUCUGCAGUGGUGUGACUUUGUGACUGACACACAGUCAGACAUAACCAUUCAGAGGAUCUGGCGAGAUGAUGUCUUUAUAACAUCAAUGAAGGAGAAGUUGGACAUUUAUUACUAUUAUGUAUAUAUGGACAAGUAUCUAUCUAUGGUUUAAACAUUGCUGUAGUAAAAGGUUAAUUCACACAAAAUUUAUAGUAUUAAUUACUCACCUUGAUACUUGCACUUGUGAGCUAACCCUUUAAAAUUGCUACCACGGUAUGUAUAUAUGUAGAGUAAUUUAUUUUAUAUUGUUUUACAACUUUGUCUAUUUUUAAACUACUAUUAUAAUUGUUAAAAUUUCAUGUUGUAUCAGUUCAGGUUUACAAUUCUGUAUUAUAUCUGAAACUAACAAUAAAAUGUGUCAAAUAACAACUGGACAACAGAA